rnacentral:lncRNA from 1 species
UAGCUGGGCAUGGUAGCAUCCAUCUGUAGCCCCAGCUACUUGGGAGGCUGAGGCAGGAGGAUUGGUUGAGCCUAGGAGGUUGAGGCUCCAGUAAGCCAUGACUGCACCACUGCACUCCAGCCUGGGUGACAGAGCAAGACCCUGUCUUAAAAAAGAAAAGUUUAUUAACGUGAAUAUCAGUUAGAAAUCUAGUUGUUCAUUGCAAAACUAAACCAGUUUAUAGCAGAAAUAAGCACUUGGAGGGAAAUGUUACAUUUUCACUGCAGGCCUUGAAUCCUUAGCCACCAGCUCCGUGUCCUUCAGGGUUCUGUGGUUCCUGGUUCCAGAGAGAUCACCUGCUCCAAUGUAACGAGUGAAGAGUUCUUUAGGUGAUGGCUGCUGGGCCCAGCUUUGCUGUUGUCUUUGCUGUCUUAUUGUUUUUCCUUGAUGCUGGAAAACAUUUUGAAGACAAGACUCUAAACAGUGAAACUUACAUUACUGACAAGCUUGGAAGAUUCUUCAGUCCUGCAGUGACCUGUGUUUCCCUGGUCUUUACCUUACCAAUCUGCUUGAUUCUCCUUUCUUGUGGCAGUAGUUAUGAUGCCAACUUUUGGGGUUCUUUGUCCUCCUCUUUUCUUCCUACCUGCCAGCAUUCAAAUGGCCACUUCUAUUAA